rnacentral:lncRNA from 1 species
UCGCAGAUAAUCUGACAGGUCCUGCAGAUGGCUCUGAAAAUUCAGGCACUGACACGGCUCCACCCAAAAAUUCUAAUGAAAGCAAAGGUCCUCCACCAGGUGUUUCUAAGUCAACAACCAAAUUGGCAUCAUCUACUUCAUUAUCCGGUAGGAAUAAGUCACCCGGUAACUCUGUCAGACCUCCUUCCAGCAGAAUUAUGGCCAAAAAAACAAGAACAAGAAAAUUUCAUCACAGAACACAGAUGGUUCGGAUUCAGAUAAUGACUUCCCAGACUUAGAAGACUCAGCAACCAGGACUGACGACUCAGAUGAUGAAAUCGACCUGCAAAAUAUAAGUGAGCUCUCAGCCUCAUCUCUAACUGGGAGUGAAAUAACCACUCGCAGCCUGCGUGAUAAACGUGGUAAAAUCUCAGAUCUUGGCAAAGACUCAGAUAAUUCAAAUGAUAGCAAAAAGAAGGAUACAACCCCACGUCCAACCAAAAAACCCAUCCUGAAAC